rnacentral:rRNA from 1 species
CACGUUCGAUCGAGUGUCGGCU